CUUGGUCAUUUAGAGGAAGUAAAAGUCGUAACAAGGUUUCCGUAGGUGAACCUGCGGAAGGAUCAUUGUCGUAUAAUGGAGGUGCCGGGGCUGUCGCUAUCUUUGUGCACGCCCUGGUGCUCUCUCACAAUCCAUCUCACCCCUUUUGUGCAUCACCGCGUGGGUGCUCUCCUUUUGAAAAGGGAGCAUUUUGCGCUUUUACACAGACCCACUGCAUGUCUAGAAUGUCUUAGUAUUUGCGAUAAUAUGCAAUCAAUACAACUUUCAACAACGGAUCUCUUGGUUCUCGCAUCGAUGAAGAACGCAGCGAAAUGCGAUACGUAAUGUGAAUUGCAGAAUUCAGUGAAUCAUCGAAUCUUUGAACGCACCUUGCGCCCCUUGGCAUUCCGAGGGGCACACCCGUUUGAGUGUCGUGAAAUUCUCAAACCCUUCUUGGUUUAUCAACCAAAGAUGGCUUUGGACUUUGGAGGCAUUUUGCUGGCUUUGUGAAAAGUCGGCUCCUCUUAAAUGCAUUAGUGGGGUCCCCUUUGCUGAUCCCCAGGCGUGAUAAGAUGUUUCUACGUCUUGGGAUUUGCUCUGUUCCUUGGGAACCUGCUUCGAACCGUCUUACAGGAGACGUCGUCCGAGUUUGACUCGGCCCACGAACCUUGACCUCAAAUCGGGUGAGACUACCCGCUGAACUUAAGCAUAUCAAUAAGCGGAGGA
rnacentral:rRNA from 1 species